AGAAUCAACGCUGGCGGCGUGCCUAACACAUGCAAGUCGCACGAGAAAGGGGCUUCGGCUCUGAGUAAAGUGGCGCACGGGUGAGUAACACGUGAAUAAUCUACCUCCGAGUGGGGAAUAACUGAGAGAAAUCUUAGCUAAUACCGCAUAACACUUACGAGUCAAAGCAGCAAUGCACUUGGAGAGGAGUUCGCGGCCGAUUAGUUAGUUGGCGGGGUAAUGGCCCACCAAGACGAUGAUCGGUA
rnacentral:rRNA from 1 species